UGGCGGCGUGGCUAAGACAUGCAAGUCGAACGGACCAUUAAUUUAUUAAUGGUUAGUGGCGAAAGGGUGAGUAAUGAAUAGGUAACGUACCCCGUGCUUCGGGAUAGCGUCUCCCGGCUUCGGUCGGGAUUCCGAAAGGGGCGGUAAUACCGGAUAAUACCAUAUAUCGUCUGGUAUAUGGUCAAAGAUUUAUCGGCGCGGGAGCGGCCUAUUUCCUAUCAGCUUGUUGGUGAGGUAAAAGCUCACCAAGGCGACGACGGGUAGCGGGACUGAGAGGUUGGCCCGCCACAUCGGGACUGAGACACUGCCCGGACCUCCACGGAGGGCUGCAGUAACGAAUAUUGCGCAAUGGGCGAAAGCCUGACGCAGCGACGCCGCGUGCGGGAGGAAGUCCCUCGGGAUGUAAACCGCUGUCAGGGGUAAGAAAGUUCCGACACGUCGGAAUUGAUCUAACCCAGAGGAAGUCACGGCUAACUUCGUGCCAGCAGCCGCGGUAAGACGAAGGUGGCUAGCGUUGUUCGGUGUCACUGGGCUUAAAGCGUGUGUAGGCGGAAAGGUAAGCGUCUUGUGAAAUCCCUCGGCUUAACCGGGGAAUUGCAGGGCGAACUCCCUUUCUUGAGGCAAGCAGGGGUGCAUGGAACUCUUGGUGGAGCGGUGGAAUGCGUAGAUAUCAAGAGGAACGCCGGUGGUGAAGACGGUGCACUGGGCUUGUCCUGACGCUGAGACACGAAAGCGUGGGUAGCGAACGGGAUUAGAUACCCCGGUAGUCCACGCCGUAAACGAUGUCUACUAGGUUGUGGAGGUUCUGACACCUGCACGGCCGAAGCAAAAGUGUUAAGUAGACCGCCUGGUGAGUACGCUCUCAAGGCUAUAACUCAAAGGAAUUUACGUGGGCGCACACAAGCGGUUGAGCAUGUGGACUAAUUCGAAGCAACGCGGCAGUACCUGUACCUGGGUUAGACAUGCAUUGGAUGACUUCCUUGGAAACAGAUUAGUCUUACCUUCGGGUGUGAAACUUGCACAGGUGCUGCAUGGCUGUCGUCAGCUCAUGUCGUGAGAUGUCGGGUUAAGUCCUUUAACGAGCGAAACCCUUGCCGUUAGUUGCCAGCGGGUCAUGCCGGGGACUCUAACGGGACUGCCGGUGUCAAACCGGAGGAAGGUGGGUACGACGUCAAGUCAUCAUGGCCUUUAUGCCCAGGGCCUCACACGUGCUACAAUGGUCGGUACAGAGCGACGCGAGACCGUGAGGUGGAGCAAAUCGCAAAAAACCGGCCUCAGUUCGGAUUGCAGGCUGGCAAUUCGCCUGCAUGAAGUUGGAAUCGCUAGUAAUCGCGUAUCAGCGAUGACGCGCUGCAUGUGUUCCUGAGCCUUGUACACACCGCCCGUCAAGUGAUGGAAGUUGGGAGUACCCGAAGUCGG
rnacentral:rRNA from 1 species